rnacentral:tRNA from 1 species
CCCUGGUUAGCUCAGUUGGUAGAGCGCUCCACUUGUAAUGGAGACUGAGGUCCCGGAUUCGAUACCCGGACCAGGCA